AUUAAAAAAAUACAGACUAUAUUCACCACAUCCUGUUGUAACAUCUGCGUCAUCAGUAUCCUGCUGA
rnacentral:sRNA from 1 species